UUGAAUAAUAAAUCAAAAAAGAAAACCAAAAUCAAAACAAUAAAAUCUAAAAUCACAAAAAUUAUACGUAAAAAAAUAAUUCAAUAAAAAUACUUGGAAAUGGCAAACGCGUGGUCUCAUUCUUCUUCUAGCAUCAAACCAGCACGGAUCAGAACAUUCCAAUGUUGCCCACCAACUACUCUACGUAUACGAUUAGAGAGCACCCAGAUCCCGAACGUCGUAGUGAAACUAUAAUUUCUGUGGCGCUAGCAGUCAUAGCUGUGGCCGUUGGUAUUUUUUGCAUCAUCUUUUGGGUGCGGUGCCGCAAAUUUCCUUUACGGAGGAGUACCAACAGGCAACUGGAACAGCUGGAACUCGCUGGUCGGGGGCCGACGAGUAGCUCGGUGCCCUCACAAGUUUCGGUGGAUGCGGUAUCACUCCAACAGCAAAGAGCCGGGCGUGUCAGAUUUGAAGCACCAAUACCGUAGAAAUACUAUACGAUAGCCUAAGAAUAUCAGCAUUACUCCUCCAGACUGCUGAAAUACUCAAUGAAAAGUGAAAAAAUUGUGCAUGCAAAUCUAAUUAAACUUCGGCUCACCUUCAAUAACCUGUUUUAAAUUCAACGUACAAUUGCCUCUUCUCUUCGAAACUAACUUUUCUUCUUCAUUUUUGCAAAGUUCGUUAAUUGAAAAGUUUAUUUCACUGAAGUUUCAAGAAAUUGUAUCAAAUUUUUUGUGAACAGAAAUGCAUUUUUACGCAGAUUUAUUUAUUUUAGCUGCUUGGUUUGUGGGACUUUAAAAACGUUUUAAUAGUUUUUGGCUACUGGGUUGCAGAAGAAAAAGUGUUAAAACCCCCAUAUAACUCAUAGCUUACUGGCACAAUAUCUGGCGACUAUAGAAAGCUUCUUGAAGUGAUUGAACUCGAUACACGAUCGAGAGAAUAAUAAGGUGGCGCCCAUCGUGGUACCGUUACUUUGCGCUCAGCGAAUUCAACAAUAUCAGCUGAUUUUCGUGGCGUCAUACUGGUGCAUUUUUUGUUAUCAAGCUUCGAAGUUCUAGCUCUUUCUUCCUUAAAUUUUUUU